rnacentral:rRNA from 1 species
AGCUCCAGUAGCGUAUAUUAAAGUUGUUGCAGUUAAAAAGCUCGUAGUUGAACUUGUUUGGGUGGCGUGGGGAUUUUUUUAGGGCCCUUGCAGGCGCAAGCUUGCUCGGCGCCCUUGCCCCCUCUGCCGCUCAAAUCUCUGGGCGCGGUGGGGCUGCCGUCCUUUGCUGGGCGGUGCUCCGCGUGCCGCGCCCUCGUUUACUGUGAAAAAAUUAGAGUGUUCAAAGCAGGCAUUUCGCACGUGAAUACAUUAGCAUGGAAUAAUAAGAUACGACAAGUGGUCUAUUUUGUUGGUUUGCGGCCGUUUGUAAUGAUGAAUAGGAACAGUUGGGGGUAUUCGUAUUCGGUUGUUAGAGGUGAAAUUCUUGGAUUUACGGAAGACGAACUACUGCGAAAGCAUU